UCUUAGCCUGAUCUAACUGUAACAGCAGAUAGGAUUCGGAGCAAAAUAACAAAUUUUGAAAUCCAAAGGACAAAUUAACACAAGAAUAUUAGGGUUUUUAGGGAUAAGUAAUUGGGAAUACCUGUUCCUCCGAGAUGAAAUUCAUUAACCUUAUGGGUCUUGGCGAUUCCUCUGCCAUGUUUCAAAUUUUUUUGCUCGAUAAUUAACAAUUUCCCGUUUCCAAGCCCUAAUUUUCUUGCAGUUAUUAGGUUUUGACAAUCC
rnacentral:misc_RNA from 1 species